GGGCCCGCACAAGCGGUGGAGCAUGUGGUUUAAUUCGACGCAACGCGAAGAACCUUACCAGGUCUUGACAUCCUAGAAACUUAGCAGAGAUGCUUUGGUGCCUUCGGGAAUCUAGUGACAGGUGCUGCAUGGCUGUCGUCAGCUCGUGUCGUGAGAUGUUGGGUUAAGUCCCGUAACGAGCGCAACCCUUGUCCUUAGUUGCCAGCACAUUAUGGUGGGAACUCUAAGGAGACUGCCGGUGACAAACCGGAGGAAGGUGGGGACGACGUCCAAGUCAUCAUGGCCUUAGACCUGGGCUACACACGUGCUACAAUGGCCAGUACAGAGGGCUGCAAACCCGUGAGGGG
rnacentral:rRNA from 1 species